UCCCGGGUAGUGAAAUGGCAUCACAACUGUCUCUGAAACAGUUAUUCCAAGUUCGAAUCUUGGCCCGGGAU
rnacentral:tRNA from 1 species